UACAGAGGUCCCAAGCGUUGUUCGGAUUCAUUGGGCGUAAAGGGUGCGUAGGUGGCGUCGUAAGUCGGGUGUGAAAUCUCGGGGCUUAACUCCGAAACUGCAUUCGAUACUGCGGUGCUUGAGGACUGGAGAGGAGACUGGAAUUUACGGUGUAGCAGUGAAAUGCGUAGAGAUCGUAAGGAAGACCAGUGGCGAAGGCGGGUCUCUGGACAGUUCCUGACACUGAGGCACGAAGGCCAGGGGAGCAAACGGG
rnacentral:rRNA from 2 species